AUUGAACGCUGGCGGCAGGCUUAACACAUGCAAGUCGAGCGGGGUGAUGGUGCUUGCACUAUCACUUAGCGGCGGACGGGUGAGUAAUGCUUAGGAAUCUGCCUAUUAGUGGGGGACAACAUCUCGAAAGGGAUGCUAAUAGCGCAUACGUCCUACGGGAGAAAGCAGGGGAUCACUUGUGACCUUGCGCUAAUAGAUGAGCCUAAGUCGGAUUAGCUAGUUGGUGGGGUAAAGGCCUACCAAGGCGACGAUCUGUAGCGGGUCUGAGAGGAUGAUCAGCCACACUGGGACUGAGACACGGCCCAGACUCCUACGGGAGGCAGCAGUGGGGAAUAGUGGACAAUGGGGGGAACCCUGAUCUAGCCAUGCCGCGUGUGUGAAGAAGGCCUUAUGGUUGUAAAGCACUUUAAGCGAGGAGGAGGCUCUUUUGGUUAAUACCCAAGAUGAGUGGACGUUACUCGCAGAAUAAGCACCGGCUAACUCUGUGCCAGCCGCCGCCGUAA
rnacentral:rRNA from 1 species